rnacentral:rRNA from 1 species
CCUACGGGAGGCAGCAGUGGGGAAUAUUGCACAAUGGGGGAAACCCUGAUGCAGCGACGCCGCGUGAGUGAAGAAGUAUUUCGGUAUGUAAAGCUCUAUCAGCAGGGAAGAAAAUGACGGUACCUGACUAAGAAGCCCCGGCUAACUACGUGCCAGCAGCCGCGGUAAUACGUAGGGGGCAAGCGUUAUCCGGAUUUACUGGGUGUAAGGGGAGCGUAGACGGCAGAGCAAGUCUGAAGUGAAAGCCCGCGGACCAACUGCGGGACUGCUUUGGAAACUGCCCGGCUAGAGUGCUGGAGAGGUAAGCGGAAUUCCUAGUGUAGCGGUGAAAUGCGUAGAUAUUAGGAGGAACACCAGUGGCGAAGGCGGCUUACUGGACAGUAACUGACGUUGAGGCUCGAAAGCGUGGGGAGCAAACAGGAUUAGAUACCCCUGUAGUC